rnacentral:rRNA from 1 species
UACGAAGGGGGCUAGCGUUGCUCGGAAUCACUGGGCGUAAAGGGUGCGUAGGCGGGUCUUUUAAGUCAGGGGUGAAAUCCUGGAGCUCAACUCCAGAACUGCCUUUGAUACUGAAGAUCUUGAGUUCGGGAGAGGUGGGUGGAACUGCGAGUGUAGAGGUGAAAUUCGUAGAUAUUCGCAAGAACACCAGUGGCGAAGGCGGCUCACUGGCCCGAUACUGACGCUGAGGCACGAAAGCGUGGGGAGCAAACAGG